AGUGUCUAUAGCGUGCAGGGUCAAGAAACUGAAUUCUGCAGAGACACGAGUGACACAGACUCAUCGGACAGCUGGAGCAGUUACAGUGUCGAUGUGGGUGACAUAUUGAUGAGAGUCGAAUACGAAGUGGACAGUGAUUGUGACAAAGAGGAGAAGUUUGUGUUCGGUGAUGGAGACGCUAGCUCCAGUGGAACAGAGGGUGUAGUUGAAACUGCAACAGAUUUAUUAGUCGCAGCUAUCUGCGAUAGUGACCUUGCGAUAUGGGCAGACA